AGAGUUUGAUCCUGGCUCAGGAUGAACGCUGGCGGCGUGCUUAACACAUGCAAGUCGAACGAACCUUCGGGUUAGUGGCGGACGGGUGAGUAACGCGUGGGAAUCUGCCCUCAGGAGGGGGAUAACGGUUGGAAACGACCGCUAAUACCCCAUAUGCCGAGAGGUGAAAUGAAUUUCGCCUGAGGAUGAGCCCGCGUCUGAUUAGCUUGUUGGUGAGGUAAUGGCUCACCAAGGCAUCGAUCAGUAGCUGGUCUGAGAGGAUGAUCAGCCACACUGGGACUGAGACACGGCCCAGACUCCUACGGGAGGCAGCAGUGGGGAAUUUUCCGCAAUGGGCGAAAGCCUGACGGAGCAACGCCGCGUGAGGGACGAAGGCCUCUGGGCUGUAAACCUCUUUUCUCAAGGAAGAAGAUAUGACGGUACUUGAGGAAUAAGCCACGGCUAAUUCCGUGCCAGCAGCCGCGGUAAUACGGGAGUGGCAAGCGUUAUCCGGAAUUAUUGGGCGUAAAGCGUCCGCAGGCGGCCUUUCAAGUCUGCUGUUAAAACGUGGAGCUUAACUCCAUCAUGGCAGUGGAAACUGAUUGGCUUGAGUAUGGUAGGGGCAGAGGGAAUUCCCGGUGUAGCGGUGAAAUGCGUAGAUAUCGGGAAGAACACCAGUGGCGAAGGCGCUCUGCUGGGCCAUUACUGACGCUCAUGGACGAAAGCCAGGGGAGCGAAAGGGAUUAGAUACCCCUGUAGUCCUGGCCGUAAACGAUGAACACUAGGUGUCGGGGGAAUCGACCCCUUCGGUGUCGUAGCUAACGCGUUAAGUGUUCCGCCUGGGGAGUACGCACGCAAGUGUGAAACUCAAAGGAAUUGACGGGGGCCCGCACAAGCGGUGGAGUAUGUGGUUUAAUUCGAUGCAACGCGAAGAACCUUACCAGGGCUUGACAUCCUGCGAACCUCUAAGAAAUUAGAGGGUGCCUUCGGGAACGCAGUGACAGGUGGUGCAUGGCUGUCGUCAGCUCGUGUCGUGAGAUGUUGGGUUAAGUCCCGCAACGAGCGCAACCCACGUUUUUAGUUGCCAGCAUUUAGUUGGGCACUCUAGAAAGACCGCCGGUGAUAAACCGGAGGAAGGUGUGGAUGACGUCAAGUCAUCAUGCCCCUUACGUCCUGGGCUACACACGUACUACAAUGCUACGGACAAAGGGCAGCAAACUCGCGAGAGCUAGCAAAUCCCAUAAACCGUGGCUCAGUUCAGAUCGUAGGCUGCAACUCGCCUACGUGAAGUAGGAAUCGCUAGUAAUCGCAGGUCAGCAUACUGCGGUGAAUACGUUCCCGGGCCUUGUACACACCGCCCGUCACACCAUGGAAGUUGGCCACGCCCGAAGUCGUUACUUUAACCCUUGUGGAGAAGGACGCCGAAGGUGGGGCUGAUGACUGGGGUGAAGUCGUAACAAGGUAGCCGUACCGGAAGGUGCGGCUG
rnacentral:rRNA from 1 species